UGAGGAAUAUUGGGCAAUGCCCGCAAGGGUGACCCAGCAACGCCGCGUGGAGGAUGAAUGUCGUAAGAUUGUAAACUCCUGUUAGAGGGGAAGAAUAGUACCGGUUGGACCGGUAUAUGACUGUACCCUCAGAGAAAGCCCCGGCUAACUACGUGCCAGCAGCCGCGGUAAUACGUAGGGGGCAAGCGUUGUCCGGAUUUACUGGGUGUAAAGGGCGCGCAGGCGGGAUAAAAAGUCAGUGGUGAAAUCCUACAGCUUAACUGUAGAACUGCCUGUGAUACUUUUAUUCUUGAGUUCGGGAGAGAGAGACGGAAUUCCAGGUGUCGUGGUGAAAUACGUAGAUAUCUGGAAGAACACCAGUUGCGAAGGCGGUCUCUUGGUCCGACACUGACGCUGAGGCGCGAAAGCGUGGGGAGCAAACA
rnacentral:rRNA from 1 species